rnacentral:lncRNA from 1 species
UUUAUUUGAGGUUUCAUAUCACUUUAAUGAAGCAUUAGAUUUUAAAUAAUUUUCUUUUGUUGCAGGUUGCAUUCAGAGUUGUCCUGAGGAAUAUCAAGAUUUUAUCAGGAUGCUUUCCUACAACUCCCCAGUGUGUGCUGCCUUCCCUUAUGAUCAAUUAGACAAUAUAAGAUAUAUCAUUGACAACAAAAAUUUCAGGCAAAAUCUUCAUAUAAUGAAAAGUAUCCAAAGCGCUGUAUGCGUUUUGUUUGAAUUAAUAUGUGCAGUACCUGACCUUCCACAAUUUAUGAGGAACAUACUAAGUGCAGUAGUUGAUAUUACUACUAAAAUUUUAUAAUUGAUGAACAUGAAACAUCAUCUGAAGUCAUACAGAAUGCUCUGGCAUAUUUUCCAAAUUUACCAAAGAUCAGAUGCAGGGGAUUAUAUGUUAUGGACAAGAAAAUGGAUGAAAAAGUUUGUACAAAGAGAGAGUCAUCAUCCUUCUCUCCUUCCUCAGAUUUUUACAGUGUUCUGCGCACAUGGUGUGAUUAAUAUAAAUAAUUAUUUCAGAUUAAACUAUAAAAAAGAUAAAAAGAGUUGUAAAUAACUCAAUAGUAUUAUUAUUAUUAUUACUGGGAAUGUUAGAUAUGUAUGAGCCAGC